rnacentral:rRNA from 1 species
CCUACGGGAGGCAGCAGUGGGGAAUAUUGCGCAAUGGGCGAAAGCCUGACGCAGCGACGCCGCGUGAGGGAUGAAGGUCUUCGGAUCGUAAACCUCUUUCAGCAGGGAAGAACGUGAACUGUGCUAAUCAACAGGCAAUUGACGGUACCUGCAAAGGAAGCACCGGCUAACUCCGUGCCAGCAGCCGCGGUAAUACGGAGGGUGCGAGCGUUAAUCGGAAUUACUGGGCGUAAAGCGCUCGUAGGCGGUAUGUCAAGUCAAGUGUGAAAUCCCCGCGCUCAACGUGGGAACUGCCUUUGAAACUGGCAAACUGGAGUGUGUGAGAGGAGAGUGGAAUUCCAGGUGUAGGAGUGAAAUCCGUAGAGAUCUGGAGGAAUAUUAGUGGCGAAGGCGACCAUCUGGAACAUAACUGACGCUGAGGAGCGAAAGCGUGGGGAGCAAACAGGAUUAGAUACCCCAGUAGUC